rnacentral:rRNA from 1 species
UGUGUUUAAUUAGAAGCAACGCGAAGAACCUUACCAGGUCUUGACAUCCUCUGAAAACCCACAGAUAGGGCUUCUCCUUCGGGAGCAGAGUGACAGGUGGUGCAUGGUUGUCGUCAGCUCGUGUCGUGAGAUGUUGGGUUAAGUCCCGCAACGAGCGCAACCCUUGAUCUUAGUUGCCAUCAUUAAGUUGGGCACUCUAAGGUGACUGCCGGUGACAAACCGGAGGAAGGUGGGGAUGACGUCAAAUCAUCAUGCCCCUUAUGACCUGGGCUACACACGUGCUACAAUGGACGGUACAAAGAGCUGCAAGACCGCGAGGUGGAGCUAAUCUCAUAAAACCGUUCUCAGUUCGGAUUGUAGGCUGCAACUCGCCUACAUGAAGCUGGAAUCGCUAGUAAUCGCGGAUCAGCAUGCCGCGGUGAAUACGUUCCCGGGCCUUGUACACACCGCCCGUCACACCACGAGAGUUUGUAACACCCGAAGUCGGUGGGGUAACCUUUAUGGAGCCAGCCGCCUAAGGUGGGACAGAUGAUUG